rnacentral:rRNA from 1 species
CCCGGCACCGGCGAACGGGUGCGUAACACGUGAGCGACCUGCCGAUCUGCGGGGGAUAGCCGGCCCAACGGCCGGGUAAUACCGCAUACGCUCCUUCUGUCGCAUGGCGGGGGGAGGAAACUUCCGGGGCGGAUCGAGGGGCUCGCGGCCUAUCAGCUAGUUGGCGAGGUAACGGCUCACCAAGGCGACGACGGGUAGCUGGUCUGAGAGGAUGGCCAGCCACAUUGGGACUGAGAGACGGCCCAGACUCCUACGGGAGGCAGCAGUGGGGAAUAUUGCGCAAUGGCCGCAAGGCUGACGCAGCGACGCCGCGUGAGGGAUGACGGCCUUCGGGUUGUGAACCUCUGUUGCCCGGGACGAAUCGCCCCAUGCGUGGGGUUUGACGGUACCGGGUGAGGAAGCACCGGCUAACUCCGUGCCAGCAGCCGCGGUAAUACGGAGGGUGCGAGCGUUG